UUGAACGCUGGCGGCAUGCUUUACACAUGCAAGUCGAACGGUAACAGGCCGCAGGGUGCUGACGAGUGGCGAACGGGUGAGUAAUGCAUCGGAACGUGCCCAGUCGUGGGGGAUAACUACUCGAAAGAGUAGCUAAUACCGCAUACGAUCUAUGGAUGAAAGCGGGGGACCGUAAGGCCUCGCGCGAUUGGAGCGGCCGAUGUCAGAUUAGGUAGUUGGUGGGGUAAAGGCUCACCAAGCCAACGAUCUGUAGCUGGUCUGAGAGGACGACCAGCCACACUGGGACUGAGACACGGCCCAGACUCCUACGGGAGGCAGCAGUGGGGAAUUUUGGACAAUGGGCGCAAGCCUGAUCCAGCAAUGCCGCGUGCAGGAAGAAGGCCUUCGGGUUGUAAACUGCUUUUGUACGGAACGAAACGGCUCUGGUUAAUACCCGGGGCUAAUGACGGUACCGUAAGAAUAAGCACCGGCUAACUACGUG
rnacentral:rRNA from 1 species